rnacentral:rRNA from 1 species
CCUGACUCCUUGAGAGUCCUGAAGGAACGUUGAAGACGACGACGUUGAUAGGCCGGGUGUGUAAGCGCAGCGAUGCGUUGAGCUAACCGGUACUAAUGAACCGUGAGGCUUAACCUUACAACGCCGAAGGUGUUU